rnacentral:rRNA from 1 species
GGGGAAUCUUGCACAAUGGGGGAAACCCUGAUGCAGCGACGCCGCGUGAGUGAUGAAGCCCUUCGGGGUGUAAAGCUCUUUCGGCAGGGACGAUAAUGACGGUACCUGCAGAAGAAGCUGCGGCUAACUACGUGCCAGCAGCCGCGGUAAUACGUAGGCAGCAAGCGCUGUUCGGAAUUACUGGGCGUAAAGAGUGCGUAGGCGGUUUGGCAAGUUUGGUGUGAAAUCUCCCGGCUUAACUGGGAGGGUGCGCCGAAAACUGUCAGGCUAGGGUGUGGGAGAGGAAAGCGGAAUUCCUGGUGUAGCGGUGAAAUGCGUAGAUAUCAGGAGGAACACCUGCGGUGUAGACGGCUUUCUGGACCACUACUGACGCUGAGGCACGAAAGCGUGGGGAGCAAAC